rnacentral:rRNA from 1 species
AUUGAACGCUGGCGGCAGGCCUAACACAUGCAAGUCGAGCGGAUGAAGGGAGCUUGCUCCUGGAUUCAGCGGCGGACGGGUGAGUAAUGCCUAGGAAUCUGCCUGGUAGUGGGGGAUAACGUCCGGAAACGGGCGCUAAUACCGCAUACGUCCUGAGGGGGAAAGUGGGGGAUCUUCGGACCUCACGCUAUCAGAUGAGCCUAGGUCGGAUUAGCUAGUUGGUGGGGUAAAGGCCUACCAAGGCGACGAUCCGUAACUGGUCUGAGAGGAUGAUCAGUUACACUGGAACUGAGACACGGUCCAGACUCCUACGGGAGGCAGCAGUGGGGAAUAUUGGACAAUGGGCGAAAGCCUGAUCCAGCCAUGCCGCGUGUGUGAAGAAGGUCUUCGGAUUGUAAAGCACUUUAAGUUGGGAGGAAGGGCAGUAAGUUAAUACCUUGCUGUUUUGACGUUACCAACAGAAUAAGCACCGGCUAACUUCGUG